rnacentral:lncRNA from 1 species
UGUGAUGUUGGUCAGCACACUCAUCUGUUGGCUUAUGUAUCGGAGCUGGGGAUCCGGCGCUUUCCUCGGAGUGCACUGGCUUCUUAUUGAUGCUGCAUCACAUUUUAGAGGCCUGCAGAGACAAGAUCAUUGGACAGAGACAACAUGUUGUUUCCUUUCGCGCAGGACAAGCAACUCAUUCAAAAUGAGAUUAAAUUGUCAAGAGCAAAAGAGACAGCAGGUUAGGAAGACUACGCUAAGGAGACAGAGCAAUGCACAAGAGAUCACCAUCAACAGGAUCUGUUUGAAUCUUCAAAUGCGAGGUGUAUCUCUCUUUUUUUACAAGAGCUGUGCAUUUGUCUUUACCAAUACUAACUCAAAACUCUCUUUGAUACAUGUUUACUUGUGAAGUCAAAUGAAAAAAAAGCAAAAGAUUCCUGCUUGAAGCUUAGGGGAUUUACAUAUCUUACAUUUACAUUCACAUGUUUAGUGUCUGUCACAGUGUGUGCAGUUAUAUGAGCGUAGAGGAGCUGGAUUUAUAUUAAAUUUUAGUAACCUCGCUGUAUAUAAAAUCAAUAUUUCAGGUAUAUGGAAAACAUUGACCCUCUAUAAAGUGCUUUUAUUCUGGAAAAGACUCACGGCCCAAAAAACCAAGAGGGCAUUUUUCUUUUAGCCUUUUUAGAUACCAACUUAAUGGACGGGGAAAGAAAGAGUAAGUCACUCUAAAUUGACUGACAACUCUGAUCUCCAACCUCAGUCCCAGUGCUUUUGAAUUUAUUAUUAAAUUGAUAAAAUAGUAAUAAAGACAGAGAGAGCAGAAAGAAUCUGGAUUCG